UGACUCCUUCACAAAUCGGUGUGAUCCUGUGUGACUCACAUCGUGUUGCACAAGUACGUUUUGUGACAGGCACUAACGUGUUGAGAAUUCUUAAGUCCGAGGGACUUGCUCCUGAUCUUCCUGAGGAUCUCUACCAUUUGACUAACAAACCUGUUGCUGUUCGAAAGCCUCUUGAGAGGAACAGAAAACAUCAGGAUGCUAAUUUCCAAUUGAUUCUGAUGAGGAGCCGUAUUUACCGGCCUGUCUCUUAGAAACAUCUGACUCU